rnacentral:lncRNA from 1 species
AUGUCAAGAAAUGUCACAAAGGAUCAAGGCCUGAGUCACAGAUCUGAGGGCAGCCUCAAUGGCUGCCACAGAGAGCAAACACAAGCACUUCCUACCUCAAGUCUUAUCAAUUUGUCUUGUUUUUACUUGCGACCAAAUUGCAAUUCAUCAUCAUUUCAUUCCAAAUUAUUGGAAUCCCAGAAGCACCUCCUGACUCUUACCUGUGGAGCUCUUGAGAUGAAAAUGAAGGGUCACUGCCCAAUGCCUCGGCUUGUAAGUCAGGUAACCUCUGCUCUUGGCACCACCCCACCACGGUGCUGGUGGUGUUGCCGAUGCUGGAUGGGGGCUGAAAUGUCAAAUGACUGGUAAGCUGAGCCCGAAAGGACAUCGGGUCUCCCAGAGAGCCAAGCUGAGAGUCAAGCUGAGAAAUAAGCCUAUGCUAGCCAAUUUACCACGGGCUCCAUUGAAUAAUGACUGUGACAUUAGUUCACGGACAAAUGGUGGUGGUGGCCCACUUCUGGGUCUUCAGGACGGGGUUUCUCCCCUCUGCAUGUCCGGGUCCCUAUGGGAGCUUCAAGAAGUUUCCUCUGCAUGGUCUACACAGGGGAUUCUGAGUUAAUCAUAUUUGAUGGGGUUGGAGCAUCAGUAGCUUUGACAAACUCUUCUGGUGAUUUCAAUGUGCCCCCAGGGUUGAGAACCACUUUUUAGGGACUUCUGAGGCUCUGAACUAGUGGUUGAUGAAAGUGCUAAUGUGUCCUGUAGAAAAACACUUUUCAUCAGGGUGCAGUGGCCCAUGCCUGUAAUCCCAGCUCUUUGGGAGGCCGAGGUGGGUGGAUUGCUUGAGGUCAGGAGUUGGAGACCAGCCUGGCCAACAUGGUGAAACCCCGUCUCUACUAAAAAUACAAAAAUUAGCCAGAUCUGGUGGGACAGGCCUGUAAUCCCAGCUACUCAGGAGGCUGAGGCAGGAGAAUCACUUGAACCCCAGAAACAGAGGUUGCAGUGAGCCGAGAUCACACCACUGCACUCCAGCCUGGGCAACAGAGCAAGAUUCCAUCUCAAAAAAAAAAAGAAAAGAAAAGAAAAGAAAAACACUUUUCAUUAUGUAAAUUAAUCUUACUACUUUAACAAGAGCCCCAGAAAGGUAUAGCAGUGGUUAAAAAGGUGAUAUAUACAGGAAUUCCAGUAUCUAUUUUUCUGUUGUGAAGUCAGAGGGACAGGAACCUAGUGCUUAUAUGCACAGCAAUGUGGGAGGCAAAUGUGGGAAAAAGUCUGGGAUUCAUAGUUUUCAUUUCAACUUAGAAGCUCCUUAGCAGUGAAGCUGUCAGUCUACCC